ensembl:lncRNA
UUAAAUGUGCAUCCAUCAGCUUGCCUAAUUACCGAUACGAUAAAGGAACACUCACCCCGUCUCAGCGCACGUGGUACACCGGAGCACCCUCUCACUGGUUUGGAGGGAGCAGCACAUGACACAGGCGAAGGAAACACUGGCCGCAGGAGGGGCACGUGACGCCAGCCAGACACUCGGCCAAGCAGGGAGCGGAAUCAAGCCGGAACCCCGCGGGGUGACUGGACCUAACACUGCAGGAGACUCGGGAACCCCACCUCGCCUGUGGCGUCCAUGCCACUGGUCCUCACGGCCCCUCCCGGGGCUCAGGGUGGCAGCAAGUGGCACACUGGAGCCCCUGACUGACCCUGGGCCUCCGCGUCCCCCAGGACUCUCAGGAGGAAUGACAGCCGCGGGCAGCCUGCUAGGCCUGCUGCUGGGGCACCGCAUGGUGGCGUGGUGGCGCUUGGGGGCAUCCGCUGGCACAUGCCCUCCAGGCCUGCUGGCUGGCAGCAGCACAGCCUUGCUCUCGCACGUGCUCCAGCAAGCGCACGCACGCCUCCAGCCAAGCUCCCUCUAGGUCAAGCAGGACAGGCUCCACCCGCCACAUCUGCUUCCGGGUGCUGUGCCUAAGGCUCGCGAGACCCGUGACCUGGCUGCCCGGUCCCCGGAUGAAAGGCAGGGGGCGGUCCAUGAAGCCAGCUCAAAGAGGCGGCAGAGGAGUAAGGAGUUCGGCGUCACCCGCCUCGUUAGACUGAGUUGUGUUUCCCCCACAAUUCAUAUGUUGAAGGCUGUUGGGCAGAAACACCAUGCAUUGGUUAUCGAUGUCAGAGGAGGCCUUCAUGGAGGAUAGCAGAGAUCAUCACAGUGACAGCCACCAGCAAUAGAAGUCUAAACACUUCUGUCUGCUUCAUCUUGUUAUUGGAGUUGCCAAGAAAAUCACAGCACAGUCAAGCACUGGAUGGAACAACUCUAUACUCAUAGAGAGAAGAGACAGGAAACUCGACUCCAAUAGCAUGUAUUGGCCCCCAUGGCUGGCAGAAGCCCCCAGCAGCUGACACAGGGAAAUUGGCCUACGAGCAUUGCUCUUGCCGUAGUGGAAGGAUUCCUUCCCUUCCCCCAAGGAGUGAGAAAUACUAAAUGCUAGGAGUGGGCCAGAACAAAGCAGAGCAAAGGAGUACACAUUGAGCCUGCAACUGGAAAACAUACUCCCACCCAAGGUGCUAGGCCCAGAACAGGCUGUGUGGACAAUUUAUCUUCUAGUAAGGAAGUAUUCCAGGCCCCUGGCCCCCUCUUAUGUGACUGAUGGGGUACUCACCAUCUGCCUUUCCCAACAAAUCUGACUGCAUUUGGAGACGGGCCUUUAGGAAGGAGAGAACGGGAAAGGAAGAUAACUGUAUUCAUGAGUGAAGCAAAGGAAGAGACUCUAGAAAAAAGGUGGCCAAUUUCUUGACCAGUAAGGAGAGAAUAAAGAGAGAAAAAUAGAAAAAAAGUAAAGGUAGAAGAAUGAAGCACAUUCUAUCUACGAUGAUACAAAUUAGCCGUCUAUUAAAUUUCAAAAAUGGCAUGUUUAUUUGAAUUAAAUUAUUUUUAGGUUAUAUUGUUUCAUGAAGAACUCAAGAAUAUCCAUCACUUGGUCAAACCUAAUCACUGAGCGUUACAUCUGGAAAAGAAUUAUAUGAAUGACAGAACCCUUAAUUUCUAAUGAUAUACUGAGCUAUUUAUCAAGAAAACCAUAUAAUGAUAGAAUAUUUCAUUUAGAAGGCAUCAUAAUACAGGAUUUCUGUUCUAAUUCAUGAUACUCACUAUCCUACAAUUGGAAGAGCAUCCUCUAUCUACUGCUAGAAAAUCUCUGGUCGUCAAGAACAUAUUAAGAUACAAGUCCAGUGUCCAGAAGGCUUGGCAAGUACCAGAAGGCUCAUUGAGAUUUCCUGUGGUUUAUGACCCAAGUUGACAACUGUGACUUCUUCUUUGUGGCGUUCUGAUGGUUAUGUCGUAUAAGAAUCACCUUAUAUCAUUUGAGAAGCUGCUGACACGGAGCACUGGUUUGAUGGAUGACCUGAGCGGCUGCUGUUCCCAUCAGAGGGAAAUACCUCCUAAACACAGAUUCAUGGCAAGUGAAUUUUUUUGGAACUUGUUCAUCAUCCUGGUCCUUGGUAGCACCUGCCCUCCAGGAAGCUGAGAGGCUUCCGAAGUACCAAGAGGCCAGUGGUCUUCCCAUCUGGGAAUCCAACUACUGCAACUCCAGCAAGAUUUAAUCUGGAUUCCUUCGGGUCUCAAGGCUCUGCUUGCACCUCAUCUUAUAUCCUCAGCGGGUGGUUGAAUCAGUAGUGGGUGAUUCAUUGGAGUUAGUAAUGGAUGGGAAGGAAAUCACAUUGACGUUGACAUUGCCUUAAAUUGCUUUAUAUUGUAAUUGAGUCAUUCAAAUUCCUAUAUAUUUUGAAUAGUCAUUGAAAAUAAAACAAAAUUAAACUAUAUCCAAGUAAUUGAAUACCUAGAAAAUUUUUCAAAUAAUUCAAUGUGGAAAACCAGCCUUACAGUGAUUCUUUAAAAAAAACACUUUAAAUAACUAUUUCAUAUAAUUCAAAAUAUUACUUAGCUGACAUAGUGGGAUUUUUGAAAAUACGUAAAUCCUUUUAGUAGUAACUAAAUAUAACGUCCUUAAUUCAGGACAAUUACGCACUACAACUUUGCUCUAUGGUGCAUUUCAAAAUAAACUAUUAUAGAAUACAUAGUUAUAGAUACACAUAUGAAUUCUAUGUUUCACCCUAUCUCAAUUCUUUCAUCGUAGAAGAAACAAUAUCUUGAAAUUCAAGUAAUUUCAAUCUCAGCAUAAAUGAAAACUUCACAAUUAAAUAUAUUGUUCCAGUGAAUAAAAUAAUGGUAGGAAACUAAUUCAAGAAAAGCUCAACUUCAAGUC